GACGAACGCUGGCGGCGUGCUUAACACAUGCAAGUCGAACGGAAAGGCCCUGCUUGCAGGGUGCUCGAGUGGCGAACGGGUGAGUAACACGUGGGUGAUCUGCCCCUUACUUUGGGAUAAGCCUGGGAAACUGGGUCUAAUACUGGAUAGGACCAUGCUGUAGGUGGUGUGAUGGAAAGAUUAGUUUCGGUAAGGGAUGAGCUCGCGGCCUAUCAGCUUGUUGGUGGGGUAAUGGCCUACCAAGGCGUCGACGGGUAGCCGGCCUGAGAGGGUGGACGGCCACAUUGGGACUGAGAGACGGCCCAGACUCCUACGGGAGGCAGCAGUGGGGAAUAUUGCACAAUGGGCGCAAGCCUGAUGCAGCGACGCCGCGUGGGGGAUGACGGCCUUCGGGUUGUAAACUCCUUUCAGCCAUGACGAAGCCCUUGUGGUGACGGUAGUGGUAGAAGAAGCACCGGCUAACUACGUG
rnacentral:rRNA from 1 species